AGCGAACGCUGGCGGCAGGCUUAACACAUGCAAGUCGAGCGGGCCCUUCGGGGUCAGCGGCGGACGGGUGAGUAACGCGUCGGAACGUGCCUUCUGGUCUGGAAUAACCCUGGGAAACUAGGGCUAAUACCGGAUACGCCCUUUUGGGGAAAGGUUUACUGCCGGAAGAUCGGCCCGCGUCUGAUUAGCUAGUUGGUGGGGUAACGGCCUACCAAGGCGACGAUCAGUAGCUGGUCUGAGAGGAUGAUCAGCCACACUGGGACUGAGACACGGCCCAGACUCCUACGGGAGGUAGCAGUGGGGAAUAUUGGACAAUGGGCGCAAGCCUGAUCCAGCCAUGCCGCGUGAGUGAUGAAGGCCUUAGGGUUGUAAAGCUCUUUUAUCCGGGACGAUAAUGACGGUACCGGAGGAAUAAGCCCCGGCUAACUUCGUG
rnacentral:rRNA from 1 species